CUUACAAUCAGGUAUGAGCAAAACCUUUCCAAGCUAAACCAAUACUACAAGCAAAGGGCCAAGAAAAGUUGGGCUAAAGAUGGUGAUAGAAACACAAGGUUCUUUCAACAAGCUGUCUUAAAACGAAGGAGGAGGAACACUAUAUUUUCUAUUAAGGAUGAGCAUGAUGUUGUUCACUUUAAGCCUAAUCUUAUAGCUAAUACUUUUGUCAAUUAUUUCAGGUUUAUAUUAAGACCUUACAUUGUAUCGCAACCUUUGUCUCAAUCAAUUGAUCCAACUUAUUCCAUUCCAGAUAAGAGUGAGAUAUUGCAAAUUCUUAAAGAUAUGAAGCUUAAUGCGUCACCUGGCCCAGAUGGUUUCAAUGUGGAAUUUUAUCUGGCAACAUGGGAUUGGAUUGGGGAUGAUGUCACUGCUUUGGUUAUAAGUUUUUAUAACACAGGUAUCUUACCCCCUCACAUUGGGGACACUAACAUUGCUCUCAUCCCUAAAAAGCUUGUCCCCCAAGUCCCUACUGAUUAUAGACCU
rnacentral:rRNA from 1 species